rnacentral:rRNA from 1 species
GACGAACGCUGGCGGCGUGCUUAACACAUGCAAGUCGAACGAAGAGCGAUGGAAGCUUGCUUCUAUCAAUCUUAGUGGCGAACGGGUGAGUAACGCGUAAUCAACCUGCCCUUCAGAGGGGGACAACAGUUGGAAACGACUGCUAAUACCGCAUACGAUCCAAUCUCGGCAUCGGGACUGGAUGAAAGGUGGCCUCUAUUUAUAAGCUAUCACUGAUGGAGGGGAUUGCGUCUGAUUAGCUCGUUGGAGGGGUAACGGCCCACCAAGGCGAUGAUCCGUAGCCGGUCUGAGAGGAUGAACGGCCAGAUUGGGAGUGAGACACGGCACAGACGCAUACGGGAGGCAGCAGUGGGGAAUCUUCCGCAAUGGACGAAAGUCUGACGGAGCAACGCCGCGUGAGGGAUGACGGCCUUCGGGUUGUAAAGCUCUGUUAAUCGGGACGAAUGGUUCUUGUGCGAAUAGGGCGAGGAUUUGACGGUACCGGAAUAGAAAGCCACGGCUAACUACGUG